AAAACAUUGGUGUAGAAGUCUACGAACCUAUAGCGCGCGUAUUAUUUACCGCUAUACAGAAUAAUGUUUCGUUCGCCCUAUCGGCAAAGAGCUGAUCAUGCCGCGCACAGCGAACGUUUCUCGAUUAUUCCGAUACACCCUGUAUAUAAUAUAAAUAAUAAAUAUAUUUUUUUUACACGGGGCCCGCCGCGACGACCGACGACGGUGAUACGUAUUUGCACGGUGGCGGCGCGUGUAAACCUACGAAUUAUACACGAAUUUUUCUGUGCCGCGUGGCGCGGACUACAUCGUCUCACCCGUUCCUCUCUCUUCACCGAAAUCUAUUUAAAAACGGACGCGGCGCGCACACGGUUUUUAGGUAAACAGGAGAUGAUGGUGCUUGCGCGCGCUUCACGCACACGGUAAUAUUAUAGAGGACCAGACCCCGGUGCAGUGGAAUCCGAUAAACUAUUUUUAUAAUAUAAAGUUUAUUGUUUUUUUCCCCCCUCGUUCGUACCGUCCGCCGCAGCCUCCGAACGGACAACGGAGAAAACGAGUGCACGUGAUGAUGAUGAUAAUGAGCGG